UAUAUUUCUUACUCCUCUUAUUAUGUUUUAUUUUAUUUGUUUAUUUAUUAAUUUCUAGAUUUUAAUGCUCUAUAAGUUUAUAUUACCUAGAUAGUUAGUUCUAAUGCUCUUAUUAUGUUUUAUUUUAUUUGUUUACUUAUCAAUUUCUGGAUUUUAAUGCUCUUAUUAUGUUUUAUUUUAAUUGUUUAUUUAUCAAUUUCUGGAUUUUAAUGCUCUCUAUCAUGGAUCUAUCAUGAUUAUGCAUAUAUUUUUGUUUUCCUUCUUGUGUACCUCAUGUUUAUAUGGGUUGUACCCUUGUUUUGGCGCCUUUUAAUGAUAUUUUACCACUUCCCCCCUCCCUACCAAAAAAAGAGAGAGCCUAUGCAUCAAGUACAUAUAUUUUGUUUUGCAGAUAUUUUUUUUAAAGGACCAUUUGUUUUUACCAGUAAUUGGCCUUGCAUGUGUUUUGUUUAAUUUAUCCAGAGACAGCCUCAUCACUUUGUUCUCUCAUUUACCAAAAUUUGUUAGAUAAAUGAAAAUUCUUUCUCCACAAAGGGAGUGGAAUGAAAAUUAAAUUUGAUUAUACAAUUUUUGAAAUAUAAUUCACUGGAGGCUGGGGAUUGAUGGAUGAAACAAUUCUGAAAACGCUGUUCAUGACACAUUUUAUUCGUUUGUGACUUUUUAAAAUGUGUCAAUUAUGUGUGCAUGAGCUGGUUAUCACUACAAGAAAUUAGGCUAUUCCACCGUCACAACUCACAAAGCUCGAUCUUUAGUUCUUCACCUCUUCUGUUCUUCUCAACGGCGCCCUGCUCUACUACCUAAUAGCAACCUUUGGAAGGUUUCUUCCGUUUCCAGCCAAGCCAACCUCCUAAUCUCAGUAGAGGCAAGCAAAAUUUCUUUCGUACUUUUCCUGUUUGCCAUUUUUCAUGAUCCUCACCCUAGUUUUUUCUAGGGUUUUGAAAUUACAAAAGGCCUAUUGAAGGGGUAAAUUACAAAUCUGGAAAAGGCUUGUAAUCUCCAAACAAACAUGCUCAAAAGAUUGAAACAGGGAAUAGAGCAAGUUAUAACAAUCUUAGAUCACAAGUAGGCUUGAAAUAUCUUAAACCCUAGUCUUCAGUUAAAUCACCUGAAACUUGAGUUAAUUCUGGUUCUUACAGCUUCACAUACUCACAAUGCACUAACUCAAUUAGAUACUCUAGUUCUUUCAACAAGAGACACAGUUGUAGUGCACAAUAAGUGCUAGGACAGAACUGACAUCAGUUUUACACUUGAAUUUUGCACAAGUGAGAAUAAGCAGGUCUAUCUGCAAUGUAGGUGAAAGUAGGCCUUGAUUCAAGUUCCCACAACACUAAAUAAAUGAAACUUGUUCAGAAUGAUACUCUUCAGUGUAUAGUAAGUUUACUUCAAAUUGCAGCUCAAAAUAAGUCACAACAAAGUUUGAGCUGAAACUUUGUUCUUAGGGACUAAAUCGUAAUUUUACUUCCUUACAGCCUUGAACUUGAUUCCAAACACCUCAAUCCAGUUAUAUAUAUAUGCUCAGAAGGUAAUCACAGCAAAACUAGCAAUAUGAAUCAACUAGAAUGAGUUUAAAACUUUAUGUAGGCUAUUUUAUUCAAUAAGGCUGUUUUGUUUGGUUUGAGAGUUCAAAACCAAAUACACUCAAUUUUCAGUCUUGAUCUUUGUCAACAGAGCUCUAUAAUGAUUAAAUAUACUUGUUCAAAGCAUAAACUCAACACAUACAAGAAGUAAUCAACAUAAAACAGUCCAUUAGAGGCUAUGCACCAGAAAAGUAGGCUGAAACUGAGAUAUGAGUACUCAUAUUGUUUUCUGUGCAAAAUUAGGCAUAUACCUGAGUUCUGCAGAUGUAAAUAAAUGCACCAAGCUUGCUUCAACCAUCACACAGCACUUGGAACCUCUACAACCAAUUUUGACCCUUCAAUCCAGCCUCAACAUCAACAUAAAUGCAUUAGAAAAUUCUGCUUCACAGGUUUAGAAAUUCUUCAGUGGAUUAGUGCACUCUCAUAGUGAUUUCAUAGAUUAAAUUAGCUCAGAACUUCAAUUAAUCUCUCUGAAAGUGACUCAUCUCGAGCCUCAUACUCAAUGCAGCUCAAUAUAUAAAAAGAGGCUCAAUAUUUGCACACAUAGGUGCUGCUCUAUAACAGUAUAUUUAUACACUGAAUUUGCUGCCCUAGUGUGAAUAAGAAUAUUCCCCAUUUAACCAAUCAUAGAUAGGAAUAUAUACAGAAAUUAUAUACCAUGAAUGGACCAAACAAUCCCUGUACAAGCCUAGCUUGUGUCACACCAACCACUUUUUCUGCAGCCCUCACAGGUCAAUGAACAAUGCUAAAAUUUACAACAAAGAAUUGUAUUUCUGUGCAUAUUUUUCUCUCACCAGGACCACUAUGCACGUGGCACAUUGUUGUGAACCCUUUAACAGCCUUGAGAUAUCAAUGUAGUACCAGAAUUGCCCUUGGAAUGAUACACUUUGUGUAUACAAGCUAAAUGAUGAUAUUCAGCAAAUUUUUCUGAAGCAAAGAUACAAUGCACCUUCAGAAAAUGUUUCCAAUCAUACACUGCAGUUUAGAUUGAUCAAAAUACCCCUAAGGAUGCAGCUGAGAUUACAUAAUUGCCCUUCACUGAUGACACUUGUCACUUUAAACCAGAUGAUACUUACUGUAGCCCUUGAAAGUGACCAGAUGAUGCUUGCUGCAGCCCUUGAAUUUGUGAUUCAACCUUGAUUCAACCUUUAAUAUAAUAUCUGUAGUGCAAUGUAGUAUCAAAGACAAGUGUAGCAAUAUUGCUCCCAUGUAUAGAAAGACUAAUAUGCCCCUGUGUUAAGACUUGUAUUCAAGAACAAACCUUAAGAUAGGUGAUACCAUUUAGCCUCAAGAUUAGUAUUUUUCAUUCAAAGAGAAAACCAGAUCAACAGAAUUCCACAGGAAAAUAGUAAGUCAAGAAAGGCAAGAAAGUCAAGAAAGGCAAAACGAAGAAGAUGAGGAAGUUGAAAGUCCUGAGGAGGGUCCUGCUAUUCGCAUGUACAAGGACACGCAUUUUUGGGAAGAAACUGGAUGGGUAAACGAGAGAGCUAAGCAGAACUACGAUGAAAUGAAACAGAAGUUUUCACAAGUUUUUCACAAUUCUGAUGGUAUCAGUCCUGUCAUAAAUGAUGUUGAGAUAGUGGAAAACCAAUUAGGUAUCAGAAAGGGAUAUCGUCGUGGGUUCGGAAAUGGUUUUGUAGCUCCAAGCCAUCAACGUGCAUCCUCAUCUUUUGAAGAGGCUUCUAGAAAAAGGGUAAAAAAUGUUGAAGAAGAUAAUGCACAACUUAGAGAGAAAGUUACAAAUUUGGAGGAGAAGUUGGAUACAUUUCAGCACCUCAUUGAGCAGCAAUAGCAACUCCUUCAGCAGCAACAACAGCAGCAAAAACAACUCCAACAACUCCUUGAGCAGCAACAACAGAACCAACAACCGCCACCACGAUUCCACCAACAGCAGCAAGCCCCACCAAGCUGGUAUCAGCAGCCGCCAACAUGGUGGCAAUUUCAUCACCACCACAACAGUCACCUGAAUGAACUAUAACGAUAAUUAUUUUGGUGGAUAUAUUUUGGAGCUUUUUGAUGGCUAGCUAGCUGAUUUCUAACUAUUUUGGUAGUGUAUUUUUUUCCCUGCAUUUUCAUGAUUGCAUUCAGUUUAAAAUGAUAUUUUAAUUUUUGAGGAUAUUUGGAACCAUUUGAUGUUAAAGCAACUAGUAGAUACUUUUAGCUCUUCUUUACAAAACUGGAGAAUUUGUAGUUUCAUCAUGAGAUUAAGAGCUUGUUUGUUGGCACCGUAUUAUGGUGGUAAUU